rnacentral:rRNA from 1 species
GACGAACCGUGCGAACGUUAUUCGGAAUCACUGGGCUUAAAGGGCGCGUAGGCGGGCCGCCAAGUCAGGGGUGAAAGCCUCCGGCUCAACCGGAGAAGUGCCUUUGAUACUGGCGGCCUAGAGGGAGGUAGGGCCUGCGGAACUUCCGGUGGAGCGGUGAAAUGCGUAGAUAUCGGAAGGAACGCCGGUGGCGAAAGCGGCGGGCUGGACCUCUUCUGACGCUAGGCGCGAAAGCCAGGGGAGCAAACGGGG